GCCAAAAUACUCAGUUGGGGAGGUUAGACGAAGAUCUAAAGGUCCCUGGUUCAAUCCCGGGUUUCGGCA
rnacentral:tRNA from 1 species